GAUGGAACAGUUUCAAGACAAUGGCAGGAAAAACAUGCUGAAGAUUGAAACAAACCUUGGCUGGAAAUAUUUGAAGGUAUCUAGCCAGUCCACAAUGAAAGCUUCGUUGCACCCCAUGAGUCUUCUGGCAGAAAUGAUGGCGCCUGUAUUCUUUGGUUUCCCUAAACAUCACACCCUGCCUGUUUAUACGAGGCUCUUCAAUUAAGUCUGCACCCAAAGAUUCAAUGAGAGAGGGGAUCCUGCCAGUCCAAAGUGAACUCCUGAUGGACAUUGAAGUACUCCUGCAGAGCUUGUAUUUUCGACACCAUGCGCAUUAGAAAGUCCACUGAGUCCUUUCCUUCACCAAGGCAGGACCCAGUGACUCAUUACUGUUGAUAGGUCAGGGGCAGGUAAUAUUUUGUUUCAUGUUUAUUCAUUCCUCCAUGGAUUACCAGCCAUAUAUAUGGACACAUGCUGUAUUCUCAAGAUCUAUGCUGUUUUGUAGGAAUAGAGAAAAUGAUAUGUUUAGUCUGUUUUCAAAUGGUAUGUCAAAUUUUCUCAUUGUUUAUCAGUAAUAUUCUCUACCUUGGUU